CACACGACUCUCGACAACGGAUAUCUCAGCUCUCGCAUCGAUGAAGAACGUAGAAAAAUGCGGUACCUGGUGUGAAUUGCAGAAUCCCGCGAACCAUCGAGUUUUUGAAUGCAAGUUGCGCCCGAGACCAUCUGGUUGAGGGCACGUCUGCCUGGGCAUCACGC
rnacentral:rRNA from 1 species